rnacentral:rRNA from 1 species
UGAGGAAUUUUGCGCAAUGGCCGCAAGGCUGACGCAGCAACGCCGCGUGGGUGAAGAAGGCCUUCGGGUCGUAAAGCCCUGUCAGGUGGGAAGAAAGGUAUCAAGGAGAAACACUUGGUAUUUGACGGUACCACCAGAGGAAGCACCGGCUAACUCCGUGCCAGCAGCCGCGGUAAUACGGAGGGUGCAAGCGUUAUUCGGAAUUAUUGGGCGUAAAGCGCGUGUAGGCGGGGAUACAAGUCUGAUGUGAAAGCCCUGGGCUUAACCUGGGAAGUGCAUUGGAAACUGUAUUUCUUGAGUACUGGAGAGGAAGGGGGAAUUCCCGGUGUAGAGGUGAAAUUCGUAGAGAUCGGGAGGAAUACCAGUGGCGUAGGCGCCUUUCUGGACGGUUACUGACGCU